rnacentral:lncRNA from 1 species
AAAUUGUUUCCAAAUGCCUGUGGGUUGCAAUAUGAUUUUCCCAUCUUGAAAAUCUAUUAAAAAGGAAGAGAUUCUUCACUUCUCCCCACCCCACCUCCAGGCACUGCAGAUGGCGAUUAACACCCUACACAGCCCCUCCCCAUAGCAUCAUCGAUUUUCUGCCUGCAUUGCAUCUACUUCACAGUUCGAGACAUGCCAAAUCACACACGUUCUAAGUACUUGUUGCUAGCAACAAAUCUCUGUUCCUCAGUGGCCAAGCAGACUAUAUUUGGAAUGUCAGAGCACCUAGCCCUUCCCUGGCCCACUUCCUUUAGCUCAGAAGUCUCCAAGCCUGAAAGUAACCUCACCCGUGUUUCCUUGAG